ACGUUAUAAGGUAUAACGUUAUAUGGUAUAACGUUAUAACGUAUUACGAUAUACGGUAUAACGUUAUAACUUAUUACGU
rnacentral:pre_miRNA from 13 species